rnacentral:lncRNA from 1 species
CAUAAUUCAUUUUUCCACAGCAAGAGUAUACAGUUAUUACGGGCUAUUCCAUUCAUUAAAAUACAUGUGGGAAGGUAGGAAGGGCCUAUAAAAUAUCCCUAAAACUCAAGAAAUUUUCUUUAGAUAAUUUUGCAUAAUGGUAAUAAAAGCAUACUGAAAAAAAGACCCAUGACCUACAUUCAAUAAUUAAACUUCCUUUCCUACCUCCCACAUACAUUUUAAUGGAAUAGCC